AGUCCUGUAGGCGAAUAAGUUUAAGCCGUCAGUUUCUCAAACUGAAGAUUGCGAGUGCGAAUCUCGUCAGGACUCCCA
rnacentral:tRNA from 2 species